rnacentral:rRNA from 1 species
AACGAACGCUGGCGGCAGGCUUAACACAUGCAAGUCGAACGCAUGCCUUCGGGCAUUAGUGGCCGACGGGUGGGUAACGCGGGGGAACCUACCCCUGGGUACGGUAUAGCUCCGGGAAACUGGAGAUAAUACCGUAUGUGUCCUGAGGGACAAAGAUUCAUCGCCACGGGAUGGGCCCGCGUCGGAUUAGCUAGUUGGUGGGGUAACGGCCUCCCAAGGCGACGAUCCGUAGCUGGUCUCAGAGGAUGAUCAGCCACAUUGGGACUGAGACACGGCCCAAACUCCUACGGGAGGCAGCAGUGGGGAAUAUUGGACAAUGGGCGCAAGCCUGAUCCAGCCAUGCCGCGUGAGUGAUGAAGGCCCUAGGGUUGUAAAGCUCUUUCACCGGUGACGAUAAUGACGGUAACCGGAGAAGAAGCCCCGGCUAACUUCGUG